GCGCCCAUAGCUCAAUUGGUAGAGCAGCAACCUCUUAAGUUGACGGUUCCAGGUUCAAGUCCUGGUGGGCGUA
rnacentral:tRNA from 1 species